UAUUCCUAUUAUUUGUAAUUAUAUCAUCAUUAAUUAUUAUAUACACAUUAAUAUACAUUAUGUGAUAUAGUUUAAAUUCUAUAUUGGGGUAGCUAGGUGGUUCAGUGGAUAGAGUGCUGGACCCGGAGUCAAGAAGACUCAGCUUCCUGAAUUCAAAUCCAGCCUCCGACGCUUACUAGUUGUGUGAUCCCGGGCAAAUCAUUUAACUCUGCCUCAGUUUCCUCAUUUGUCAAAUGGAGCUAGAGAGGGAAAUGUCAAAAUCACUUCAGUAUCUCUGUCAGGAAAACCCCAAAGGGGAUCACAAAACGUCAGAAACAACAUAAUAUAUUCACAUAUAUACAUUCACAUAUAUUAUAUGCAAAUGUCUACACAUUCAGCUAUAUUUGUGUGUGUAUACACAUUAGGAGUGACAAGAGGAAUACAUUGGGCAGAGCACUGAAUUCCUAAUCAAAGGACUUGAAUUCCAAUCAUGACUGCCUCGGACUAGCUGAAUGAUUUUGCCUAAUUCAUUUGCCUUCUUCCACCCUUGUUUCUUUAUUGAUGACUGGGCUGCCUCAGCAGUCAGCUGCUAGGUUUUGCUUAUGCCCCUUGUUCAUCUUGUGCAUCUUUAUCCUUCUCCCAUGACCACCAGCCUAUUCUCACCUGCAACACUACAUGCUACAGAAGCCUCCUAAUUGGUCUCUCUGCUUCGACUUCUUUUCCUCUCCAAUUAGCUUUACACACAACUGCUAACACAAGCAUACUUAUGGGUUUUGCUGGGUUAUGCAUAGUUCUUAUGAGGUGAGUUAAAAACUUAGGACAGGGUGGAAGGAUAAAUAAAUAUUAAUUGAAAAAUCAAAUAAAAUGAGGAAAUUGAAAAAAAUCCCUUAUUUCUACAAUUAAAACUAGAACUGAGGGGGAAAAAAUGUCAAAUAUAUACUUAAUAUUUAAUGUCACACGUGGUUUCCUAUUGAAGAAUUCAAGAACACAUCCAAUUCUGGUGAGUACAAUGCCAAAUUAUGUAAAGCAAAAGACAAAACUGCAGCAAAAGAUGAUGUAUAAAAUGUUAAAAGCCUGUGUAUAUGUAUGUAUAUAUACAUACAUGUGUGUAUAUAUACAUAGAUAUAUCUGCUAUUGAAUAAAUGAAUGAAUGUUUCAAGUCCCUCAACCACUGUUUGCCCAUCAGUUUCUCAAUUUGCCUCAGUUUCCCCCAUUCAUUAAAAUGAGGAUAAUAAUAGCAUCUCUAUCCCAAAGUUCUUGUGAGGAUGAAAUGAGUUAAUAAUUAUAAAGUGCUUAGCACAGCUCCUGACACAUGGUUGGAUGUCAUCCUUCAUUCUUGAAAAGGACUAAAAUGACCUUAUUAGAUCACACAAGCUCAGAAUACUCUGCCACAUGUUGGACACAAAUACUCCAUUUGAACAUUUGGAGUGGAGAUGUGUCUAAAUUUUCAAAUCUCACAUUUCUUUUGAGCUAUUACAAUUCUGUUUCAAUCAUAGAGCAUGACAUCUUUUUAGUUUUGAUGUGGGUGCGCCAUGUUGGGUGGUUCCAGAUGUCACAUGUCUCAUAGUUGAUUCCAAAGUUCUUCAGAGAGACCUGGAGAGUCUCCUUUCAAAGUUUCUUCUGACCUCUAUAGGAAUGCUUGUCUUAUGUGAGCCCUUUGUAAAAUAGUUUACUGGGCAAAUUUAUUUUUGGUAUUCAAACAACAUGGUCAGCCCAUCCAAGCUGCAUUCUUUGCAGGAGGGUUUGAGCUGACCAAGGCCUCUGAUACUGUCAGUCUUGAGAAGCUGUAAAAAAUUAUAGCAAAAUUGUGUUUCCCGGAGAAGUUCAUCAGUGUUUCAUGACAGUUUCAUGAUGGCAGAGUUUCCCAGAUUCUGAGUAAUGGAUGAUGUUCUUGCACUUUCCCAGUAACCAAUGAAACAAGGCUGUGCGCUUGCUCCCAUGUAUUUUAGCCUAAUGUUUUCACUGACAUUGUCAGAUGCCUUGAAUGAGGAGAAAAGAUCAGCUACGGCAGUGAUGGUAAAUUAUUUAACUUGAAAAGGCUACAAGCCAAGACUAAAGUGGAGGGAGAUUUGAUGCAUUAAUUUUUUUGUUUGCAGAUGAUCAUGCACUCACUGCAGCCUCUGAGGCUGAGAUGCAACAGAGUAUGGAUCAAUUCCCUGCUAUUUGUACUAAUUUUGGCCCGACAAUUAAUGCCAAGAAAACAGAGCUUCUCCACCACAACAUCCAUAUGUGGGACCGUUGGCUACAGAAAAUGAAGAAAUUUUGAAUGCUGUGGAGAAGUUCUCUUAUAUUGACAGUAUUCUUUCCAGGGAUGUCCACAAUGAUAAUGAGGUUGACACACAUAUUGCCAGAGUUAGCUCAGAGUUUGGGAAACUCCAAAGGAAGGGCUGGGAGAGGAGAGAUAUUAGACUAACUACUAAACUGGGAGCCAUUGGGCUGAUCUCAUUGUUGUGUGCCUGUGAAAUCUGGAUAUUCUCCCAGCGCCCUGCUGGGAAAAUGAAUGGCUUGCAUUUGAACUGUCUUAGGAAGAUGCUGCAGAUCACCCGGCAGGAUAAGGAAUUAGACUAGAAGACUUCUAAGAUCCUUUCUAGCUCCAAGACUAUGAUCUAAGUAACAAGGAGGAGAUUCCCCUUUGGUGUUCACCUUUGGAUGCAUCACUAUCAGACCCGGGGGGAGCUGGUCUGGAGGAGACCCCUAGCUGGCUGAGCCAGUAGCAGGCCUGGGAGGUUGAACGAGCUUGGAAAACAAUUUGUGCUUUCAAGACCAAAGCUGGUCACCUCUGGUGCCAGUUGGUCUUCCCUGACCUUCUGAAGCAUCUGUGAGUUGCUGACCAAGCUCAUCAUUGCCCGCACUUGCUGGAAAUUCUAUUUUUAUGACCAAUCAUUUAUUUUUAUUGGUUCCUGGGAUUUUAUUUUACUAAAUUAUUAAAAAAAUCAAAUGAGUAACUAA